CUAAUACCUAUAUACGUGUGCCGUCGCGCCCUGUCCCGGGAAACCGGUUUUACAAUGCCGGAGAAGCCGACUCGGUGGACGUAGAGGAAGAGGAUGAAGAGGAAUGGGCAACCGGUCAAGAAUUAAUAUAUUGGUUCGAGAAAUACGCAGUCUAAACGGUCAUUAUUAGUGGAAGAGUUGAACCCGAAAAUUGUCCCCGCUCACUGUUGGACUUGCUGAAAAAAAAAAAUCGGUCGUUUGUCCUUGAUGUUAUAAAAAUAACAAACCCAACCGAAUGCAUAUUAUAAAAAUAAACGAGAACAAUCGCCAGUCGAACAGAAAAAACAACACACGAAAUUAUUUUCGGACGGUGCGAUCGACGGUGGACGGACAAAACCGUUAAAAAAUUUGAAACAUAACAAAACUAUUUCGUAAAACGUCGACGGGGUAUCGUCUCCGAAAACAAGAGUUUCGUCUCUAUGUAAACC